UGUACACAGCGGAAGGGGCGGAGUUACCUGGCUGCUUAGCUGGUCUGACAAAACAAUUGCAAAUAAUGGAGAAUUAGCAACUAGCGAAACUUCGGAGAAGAUGGCACCUUACAAAUAGAAGCGAGGAAGCAUUUUGGAGUCUUCAGCCACGGAGUACGGAUGCUCCAGGGUGUGCAGCACUCGAGAAGACUGGAGGUUGUGCAGUGACCGUGACUGAACUGCAGAGGGGUUAAAGGAAAAUUUGAAGAAGACAUUUCAGAGUUAUGAAGUGAUACACUGAAAUCAAAAGGAAGUUGAAUUCAAGACCAUGGUUGUGUUGUGUCUCGGAUGGGACUAAGCGGGGCUCCACAGGGGCACUUCCAGUUGGUGGCAGACUGUCGAUGUGAUCCGAAU